rnacentral:rRNA from 1 species
AUUGAACGCUGGCGGCAUGCCUUACACAUGCAAGUCGAACGGCAGCACGGGAGCAAUCCUGGUGGCGAGUGGCGAACGGGUGAGUAAAGUAUCGGAACAUGCCCAGUCGUGGGGGAUAACGUAGCGAAAGUUACGCUAAUACCGCAUACGAUCUAUGGAUGAAAGCGGGGGAUCGCAAGACCUCGCGCGAUUGGAGCGGCCGAUAUCAGAUUAGGUAGUUGGUGGGGUAAAGGCUCACCAAGCCGACGAUCUGUAGCUGGUCUGAGAGGACGACCAGCCAGACUGGGACUGAGACACGGCCCAGACUACGACGGGAGGCAGCAGUGGGGAAUUUUGGACAAUGGGCGCAAGCCUGAUCCAGCCAUGCCGCGUGCAGGAUGAAGGCCUUCGGGUUGUAAACUGCUUUUGUACGGAACGAAAAGGUUUGACUUAAUACGUUGGACUCAUGACGGUACCGUAAGAAUAAGCACCGGCUAACUACGUGCCAGCCGCCGCAGUAA